rnacentral:rRNA from 1 species
GUGAAGCUGGAUUCGCUGUAAUCGCGCAUCAGCCAUGGCGCGGUGAAUACGUUCCCGGGCCUCGUACACACCGCCCGUCAAGCCAUGGGAGCCGGGGGUGCUUGAAGUGCGUCGCCGCAAGGCGCGCCCUAGAGCAAAACCGGUGACUGGGGCUAAGUCGUAACAAGGUACC